rnacentral:lncRNA from 1 species
AUUAGGGGAGCCCACGGCUACAAAAACAAGUGAGUGAGAAGAGGUGGGAGGAAGAGAAACUACGCCACCUCCCCUGCAGCCGAGUGCACGCAGCAGCCUGGCGUGACAAGUGGGCGACGCCGGGGGGCAGGGAGCCGGGGUCCUUGGCCCUGGCCGGGGACCCCACCGCCCACCGCGCGGAGGACAACUUUUAGCCGGCAGCCCAGACCAGCGCGGCACCUGUCUCCGGAGUCUCCACCGCUCCUCCCGAUUCAUCCCAGGGAAAUUCUCAAGAAUACGCUCUACAAAUCUACGUGCGCAUCAUUUUCACCUCGCGUCGCGCCCGGGAGGAAGGAACGAGGCAAGGAGCUAAAGCAGCGUGCGUUCAGCCCUGGGGCAUUUUAUUAAUGCUUUUACGAGUUAGAAGAGUUGGGAUAAUUUGCCAUCUGGAGUUUCUCUGCCUUGCUGAUCUGAGCUCAGACCUGCCAAUUUACCAGAGAUAAUUGAUAACACCCUGUAACAGCUGAGAGCAUGCAAAUAUUGAAAAACCCUGAUGCUGACUUUGAGAAAUCAUGCAGAAUAGGGGCCGAAUGCAAGAAAAAUCAUCUUUGUCCAAAUUUUAAAUAAAGAGGAAAAUGGAAGAAACGGAGAUACUUUUAGUGAAGCAGAAUAAACCACUGAACAGGAAAAAUGAGGAAGCUGUGAGUACCAGUGGAAGGAACGAGCCAGGAAGAGGGACUGGAACCAUCUCAGAAGCCAUGCCCCUCAGGCUGGAACUUGCCCUGUCUCCUCGCAGAUGAGUCUCUUCUUUCCGCCAGCUACCUCUUGUGUUUAAGAAUUAAAGGAAGAUGAGCUAGGAAUCAAGAAAUACGCAGAACUGAUUCCUGUCACUGGCGCCACCCUGCCACUUGCCCAGAGCUGUGGUAUAAAUUUUUUUAAUAGGCUGAAAUAAAAAUAUGAAUAGCAUUUUGGUAUUAAGCAUUAAAUUGAUAAAGGCUAUGAGAUACACCUGCUCUCAACCAUGUUAAUUUUUUAUUAUUGGUAUUAAUAAAUUAUUACUUACUAACAUAUUAACAAGAAUUGCAUUGAGAAACAAAGCAUCCACAGGCCAAAUCUUCUGAAUUUCAAAUGUUUAUAUUAAUGCGUUGUAUUCUAGAAAAGUAGAAUUGUCUUAAGUAGCUUUGUAAUAUAAAGUCAUCUAUCAGCCCAUUACACCUAUUAGAAUGUUUUAACCUUUAUUUCCCACUUUUUUGUUUCUAGACUGAGUGUACUUGGUCUGGUAUUUGUGGCAUAACUUACGGAACACAUAAGAAUGAUACAGAUACUAUUUAAUGAUGACCUAAUACAAGCUUAGAUAGCUAAGGUGAAAGCUUCUAUGGCCUUAACAUUUUCCUCUUGAAGAAUGUAUUUUCUGUAAUAAAAUACAGUGGCUACUUGAAAUCUA